rnacentral:rRNA from 1 species
CACGUAGGGGACGAGCGUUGUCCGGAUUCAUUGGGCGUAAAGCGCGCGUAGGCGGCUCGGAAAGUCGGUCGUGAAAUGCCGGGGCUCAACCCCGGGACUGCGUCCGAUACUUCCGGGCUGGAGGUAGGUAGGGGAGAUCGGAAUUCCUGGUGUAGCGGUGAAAUGCGCAGAUAUCAGGAGGAACACCGGUGGCGAAGGCGGGUCUCUGGGCCUUACCUGACGCUGAGGAGCGAAAGCAUGGGGAGCAAACAGG